rnacentral:rRNA from 1 species
UACAGAGGGUGCGAGCGUUAAUCGGAAUUACUGGGCGUAAAGGGUGCGUAGGCGGUCGGGUAAGUCUGAUGUGAAAUCUCACAGCUUAACUGUGAAACUGCAUUGGAUACUAUCCGGCUCGAGGAAUGGAGGGGAGACUGGAAUACUUGGUGUAGCAGUGAAAUGCGUAGAUAUCAAGUGGAACACCAGUGGCGAAGGCGAGUCUCUGGACAUUUCCUGACGCUGAGGCACGAAAGCCAGGGGAGCAAACGGG